rnacentral:rRNA from 1 species
UAGGGAAUCUUGCGCAAUGGGCGAAAGCCUGACGCAGCCAUGCCGCGUGAAUGAUGAAGGUCUUAGGAUUGUAAAAUUCUUUCACCGGGGAAGAUAAUGACGGUACCCGGAGAAGAAGCCCCGGCUAACUUCGUGCCAGCAGCCGCGGUAAUACGAAGGGGGCUAGCGUUGCUCGGAAUUACUGGGCGUAAAGGGCGCGUAGGCGGAUAUUUAAGUUGGGGGUGAAAGCCCGGGGCUCAACCUCGGAAUAGCCUUCAAUACUGGAUAUCUUGAGUUCGGGAGAGGUGAGUGGAAUGCCGAGUGUAGAGGUGAAAUUCGUAGAUAUUCGGCGGAACACCAGUGGCGAAGGCGACUCACUGGCCCGAUACUGACGCUGAGGCGCGAAAGCGUGGGGAGCAAACAGGAUUAGAUACCCUGGUAGUCCACGCCGUAAACGAUGAGUGCUAGUUGUCGGCAUGCAUGCAUGUCGGUGACGCAGCUAACGCAUUAAGCACUCCGCCUGGGGAGUACGGUCGCAAGAUUAAAAACUCAAAGGAAUUGACGGGGUCAUAGCUGUUUCCUG